rnacentral:lncRNA from 1 species
UGACUAUCGAGCCCUGAACAAGAUUACUGUAAAGAAUAGCUAUCCUAUUCCACUGGUUGCAGAUUGCUUCGAUCGACUGAGUCGGGCGAAGUAUUACACAAAAAUUGAUCUUAGGUCCGGAUACUGGCAAGUUCGGAUUAAGGAGGGAGACGAAGCAAAGACUACGGUGGUAACCAGAUAUGGAGCCUUUGAAUUUAAGGUGAUGCCUUUUGGUUUGACAAAUGCUCCAGCAACAUUUUGUACUAUGAUGAAUCAGGUACUCCACGGGUUCUUAGAUGAUUUUGUCGUGGUGUACUUGGAUGACAUAGUAAUCUACAGCGAGACAUUGGAG